UUAGAGUUUGAUCCAUGGCUCAGAGCGAACGCUGGCGGCGUGCCUAACACAUGCAAGUCGAGCGAGAAAGUUCCCGCAAGGGGAUGAGUAAAGCGGCAAACGGGUGAGUAACGCGUAGGUAACCUGCCCUCCAGCUCAGGAUAACCUCGCGAAAGUGGGGCUAAUACUGGAUAACGUCCCUAUGGGGCAUCUCAGAGGGACCAAAGGAGGCGAGUGUCAUGCAGCUUCCACUGGAGGAGGGGCCUGCGUCCGAUUAGCUAGUUGGUAGGGUAACGGCCUACCAAGGCAACGAUCGGUAGCCGGCCUGAGAGGGUGUUCGGCCACACUGGGACUGAGACACGGCCCAGACUCCUACGGGAGGCAGCAGUGGGGAAUCUUGGGCAAUGGGCGAAAGCCUGACCCAGCGACGCCGCGUGGGGGAUGAAGGCCUUCGGGUUGUAAACCCCUGUCAGGUGGGACGAUGGUUUGCUGACCUAAUACGUCAGCGAGCCGACGGACCACCAGAGAAGCCCCGCAAU
rnacentral:rRNA from 1 species